rnacentral:rRNA from 1 species
UACCAGCUCUCCGAGUAGUGUGGAUGUUUAUUGGGCCUAAAGCAUCCGUAGCUUGCUAAGCAAGUCCCCUGUUAAAUCCACCGAUUCAAUCGGUGGAUUGCGGGGGAUACUGUUUGGCUAUGGGACGGGAGAGGCCGACGGUAUUUCCGGGGUAGGGGUGAAAUCCUAUAAUCCCGGGAAGACCACCAGUGGCGAAGGCUGUCGGCUAGAACGCGCCCGACGGUGAGGGAUGAAAGCUGGGGGAGCGAACCGGAUUAGAUACCCGGGUAGUCCCAGCUGUAAACGAUGCAGGCUAGGUGUUUGGGCGGCCACGAGCCGCUCUAGUGCCGCAGGGAAGCUGUUAAGCCUACCGCCUGGGGAGUACGGCCGCAAGGCUGAAACUUAAGGAAUUGGCGGGGGAGCACCACAAGGGGUGAAGCUUGCGGUUU